GAUGAACGCUAGCGAUAGGCCUAACACAUGCAAGUCGAGGGGCAGCACAUGACGUAGCAAUACAGAUGGUGGCGACCGGCGCACGGGUGAGUAACACGUAUGCAACCUACCUUCAACAGGAGAAUAACCCGUCGAAAGACGGACUAAUACUCCAUAACACAGGGAUCCCGCAUGGGAAUAUUUGUUAAAGAUUUAUCGGUUGAAGAUGGGCAUGCGCUCCAUUAGCUAGUUGGUGAGGUAACGGCUCACCAAGGCAACGAUGGAUAGGGGAACUGAGAGGUUUAUCCCCCACACUGGUACUGAGACACGGACCAG
rnacentral:rRNA from 1 species